ACGGGGUGCAGCAGGCGCGAAACCUUUGCAAUGUGCGAAAGCACGACAAGGUUAAUCCGAGUGUCUCCUGCUAAAGGAGUCUUUUGUCAGUUGUAGAAUCACUGAUGAAUAAGGGGUGGGCAAGUUCUGGCGUCAGCCGCCGCGGUAAAACCAGCACCUCGAGUGGUCAGGAGGUUUAUUGGGCCUAAAGCAUCCGUAGCCGGUUGCAUAAGUUUUCGGUUAAAUCUAUGCGCUUAACGUAUAGGCCGCCGAAAAUACUGUGCAGCUAGGGAGUGGGAGAGGUACGCGGUACUCAAUAGGAAGGGGUAAAAUCCUUUGAUCUAUUGAUGACCACCUGUGGCGAAGGCGGUGUACCAGAACACGUUCGACGGUGAAGGAUGAAAGCUGGGGGAGCAAACCGGAUUAGAUACCCGGGUAGUCCCAGCUGUAAACGAUGCAGACUCGGUGAUGCAUUGGCUUGUGGCCAAUGCAGUGCCGCAGGGAAGCCGUUAAGUCCGCCGCCUGGGAAGUACGUACGCAAGUAUGAAACUUAAAGGAAUUGGCGGGGGAGCAC
rnacentral:rRNA from 2 species